rnacentral:rRNA from 1 species
GGAGUUAGCCGGUGCUUCUUCUGUGAGUGAUGUCCUUCCUGCCGGCUAUUAACCCGCAGGCCUUCUUCCUCACUGAAAGUGCUUUACAACCCGAAGGCCUUCUUCACACACGCGGCAUGGCUGGAUCAGGGUUGCCCCCAUUGUCCAAUAUUCCCCACUGCUGCCUCCCGUAGGAGUCUGGGCCGUGUCUCAGUCCCAGUGUGGCUGAUCAUCCUCUCAGACCAGCUACGGAUCGUCGCCUUGGUGAGCCGUUACCUCACCAACCAGCUAAUCCGACAUAGGCUCAUCCGAUAGCGCGAGGCCCGAAGGUCCCCCGCUUUCCCCCGUAGGGCGUAUGCGGUAUUAGCCUGGGUUUCCCCAGGUUAUCCCCCACUACCGGGAAGAUUCCUAUGCAUUACUCACCCGUCCGCCGCUCGCCACCAGGGAGCAAGCUCCCCGUGCUGCCGCUCGACUUGCAUGUGUUAGGCCUGCCGCCAGCGUUCAAUCUGAGCCAUGAUCAAACUCUGA